CCGACACCCAGGCCACCCUUAGCCAUCCCUGUUGGAGCCACUGCUGCCAGGAAGAACCCCAAGCCAAUUCUUGCUGCCAUUCUGUCUCCCUCCCCAGGAGUGCUGGCCACAAUGUCUCUACCCGUUUGGUAGCCCAGUCUCCCUUAUCAAUGUCCGUCUACACUAGCUGGUUUGAGGGCUUCUUCUGGAUGUUCUGCCUGGGGGCGCAGCAGGCAGAAGGGAGGGCAGCUGGUGUCCAGAGCCCCCCUAGGCAGGCCAGCCUGCUGUGCCAGCACGGGUCCCCUCCAGGGCCUGUGCCCUUCUGGGCAGCCUCAUUGCUCAAUGGCCACCCACCUCCCCAAGGCCAAGAAAGCAACUGCCCUUCCACGGCCUGGGGUUCACUGAGUGAGGGCGUGAGCCUGGCACCCCCAUCCAGUCUUCUUUUCAGUAUGUCCAAAAAAUUAAGUCAUCUCAUCAUUGAUAUGCAAUGUACAUUGGUGGGGGCAUCUUUUAAAACUGAAAUGAGAGUAAUAUGAUAAGGAAAGACAGACACAGGCCCAGCCCCUGCUCCCAUUAGCAACUCCCAUGAAUGCAGCACAGCUGCAGGAGCUGGUCCGGCUGCUGCAUCCUCUCCCCGCUGCAGCUGAGGGCGUUCUGAGUGAGAAAUUAAUUCCUCGUCGGAAUUGUGUCUGAAUUUAGCAGAUAAUAAUUUUAGAGCUUUAAACUGACAUUUUAAGAAUGACCACUGUAAUUCCUGCAAGCAACAAUGGAUUCCAUAAAUGAUGGAGAUUCUAAGAACAGGAUUGAUUUCCACAGGCCAGGGUUGUUGAUGCCCUUUGGAAUGGAGAGCUGUGAAGGGGAAUGCCUAGGCCUCACAGAGGAGGCUCGUGACCCGGACAGGUGUGGGACUAGGGGCCAUGUCUGUAGCUCCCCUGCUACGGAGCAGAAUCUGCCUCUCCAUAAGCGUAAGCUCUGGGGACUGACAUCCACGCUGGGCCUGGCUCCUGCCUCCCGCCUCCUGCCCAGCCCCUGCCAGCCGCACAUGGUGGAGACCGGCUGCCCAAAGCUCUUGUUCUCAGAUGUGGGCAGAAUGGGAAUCUGCCAUGUGCCCAUGGAUUAAAAAAAAGAAACCCAGGCUGCUUUUCUGUCUGUUAGAAGGAGCCUGCACUUCAAGAUAGUGGGGAUGUAUAUUUUAAAAAAUUUCACACUCAUGGGCCAAAGAUUUUCCCGGGGCUGUGUGCUGAUUUGCAGCCUAUCAUGUGUGGCUUUGGGACACUGGGGAAGGUGUGGAGCAGUUUAAGUGACAAACGGGUUGGAAAAGCAAAGGACACCAGGUGAGGAUGAUGGAAUUUACAUCCUGUUGCUUCCCUGAUAGUUCCUGCCAAUAUGGGAUCCCACUACUAUCUUUCUGCCCUAAAAAUAUGUGUAUAUUGAGAUAGAAACUGUUGUAAUGGCUGCAUGCAUUCAGUAGAGGAAAGGAGAGAAGAAAGAAGGAACAGAUUUAGUCCUGCCCAGAAUCUGCACUUCCACGGAGGACGCCAGGAUAUCACGGGAGAGACUGCAGCUCUGAUCAAAUGGGGCGAGCUCUUGGCAGGAGCCAGCAUGUUCCUGUGUUCCAUUUGGGAGGACAGUUUACUUUUAUGAUGUACUUUGAAAUCAGGUGGACGUCUGUAACUCCUGGACCUUUCCCAGCCUUUCCAGCCACGGUCAUCUCUGUGGAGUCAGGGGCAGGGACUUUGGGAUCAGCUUCGGCCCUCGUGAAAACAGCAGAGCAGCCUGAGAGCCAGGAAGGACCUCACCUGAGUAUCAGGUCACCUCAUCAGGCUGAAUUGUGUGGAUCUAGGGAUUUUAAAGAGGUGAUUAAGGUAAAAUGAGGUCAUUAGGGUGGCCCUUGACCCAGUGUGACUGGUGUCCUCCUAAGAGGAGAUUAGGACACAGCCACACAGAGGGACGACCACCUGAGGAUCCCUGAGAAGAUGGCAUCUGGAAGGUGAGGAGAGAGGCCUCAGAAGGAAUCAACUCUGCUGAUACUCGAUGCCAACUUCCAGCCUCUGAAACUGCGAGCAGGCUUUCUUCUGGGCUGUUUUGUGGGCCCCACCUCAACACAGAGGCUGGUAUUUCUUGGGUCUCUUGUUCAUCUGCUUUGGGCAGAGGUGACUG
rnacentral:lncRNA from 1 species